rnacentral:rRNA from 1 species
GACGAACGCUGGCGGCGUGCCUAAUACAUGCAAGUUGAGCGCUGAAGGUUGGUACUUGUACCAACUGGAUGAGCAGCGAACGGGUGAGUAACGCGUGGGGAAUCUGCCUUUGAGCGGGGGACAACAUUUGGAAACGAAUGCUAAUACCGCAUAAAAACUUUAAACACAAGUUUUAAGUUUGAAAGAUGCAAUUGCAUCACUCAAAGAUGAUCCCGCGUUGUAUUAGCUAGUUGGUGAGGUAAAGGCUCACCAAGGCGAUGAUACAUAGCCGACCUGAGAGGGUGAUCGGCCACAUUGGGACUGAGACACGGCCCAAACUCCUACGGGAGGCAGCAGUAGGGAAUCUUCGGCAAUGGACGAAAGUCUGACCGAGCAACGCCGCGGGAGUGAAGAAGGUUUUCGGAUCGUAAAACUCUGUUGGUAGGGAAGAACGUUGGUGAGAGUGGAAAGCUCAUCAAGUGACGGUAACUACCCAGAAAGGGACGGCUAACUACGUG